UGGUUCUGAUAAACACUGACUAUCUGGCCAACUCUGAAACACAAGACUGUUAAGGAAAACUUGACAUAGUUUUUUUUUAAGUUUCCUUUAUUUAUUUUAUUUGGGCCUCUGGGCCUUAAACUCAUGCUUUUGUUUGGUUUUCAGUUUUGAGUCUUCCCUGUCAUGGAAAGGGCUUGGAAUUAAAAACCAAACAAAGGCAAAAGCUGAGAGUCUAAUGGCACUGCUAAGCUAAGCAGCUGGGGAUUUAGCCCUCGUAAAACUGAAACUCUAAAUGCCCUGGUGGGGUCUGUCCCAUGCCCAGGCUCUGAUGGCCGCGUUGGCUGGUCCAUCAUGGCUCUGCCACUGUCUGGUGGCUCUGGGGACAGUUCUGUACAAAGUGGAAGUCACCAAGCCUGCCCACAAAGCCUCCACAAGAUUUACUUUGGAUUUCAUGUGCUCUUUCAUUGGCCUGGCCUCUCCUUCCAUCAGGGACUUCUUCUCCCACCAAGGUACCACCACCUCACUCCAGACCCAAGUGGAAGAUAGUGGUUUGCUCAGGGUUUCAUUCAUUGGGCUCUGCCUGGUUGUCUUCAGCUAACAGCACAGCAUGUUGACAUCUGCUGGACUGCUGCCUGCUUCAGAGCAUCGCUCUGGCUUAGAUGCCUCAUCAAGUUCUGGGGAUUACCGUUUACUCUACUCUCAUGGCUAUUUGAUCACUUGGGCAACUUCUUCUGGGUCGAAGGAAGAGCGGGCACAGGGAAGCCACCACUUAAGAUAGAGAGGCAAUGGAUGCUUGAGAGCCUCAAAACCUUCUCUGAGCUCAGCUCAAAGCUCAUGUUUUGUUUCAACUGUGCGUUGCUUUGCAGUUGAGAGGAAAUCCAGGCAUUUAUGAAACACUCAGCAGUUCAGGCUUGGAGCUGUGCUGUCCUGGCUGCUUGAUCAAUAGCAUCUGGCUGAAGCUUAUAAUGAAAAGCAGGUGGCUGGCUGUACAGGGAGUACUGUCUGAACAGGGGGAAAAUGGAUUUCUGAUGGAAGAUUUGUCCUGCUGCCUGGGAUGUUGGGGUCCUUAGGAGUCAUGUUAAAGGUACUGCUGGCAAAGUGCACCCUGCAGCACAGUGCCUCAAGCCUGGAAAAGGCAGGGCUCCCUUCAGAAAAGCCGAUGACGACUCAGUGCAGGUCAGAUUGAAAGAAUCACAGGGAUACCUCCUGGCUGGGGACUUUUGCAAACACACGACUAAUCCCCCAACACACGUGCAACCCAUUCUGAUUUACUACGGAUGCUGACAGCAGUUGGUCUGCCCACGCAUAGCCCACGUGCCCAUCCAUGGAGGUGACAGCAGAGCCACCCGCCACUGAGCUGGGGCAGUCAGCUCCUCCUCAAAGCCCCAGGGAUGAAUGAAGAACAGCGCUGCCCUCCUGGGAAGGCAAAGAUCACCUUAGGUCCAGCAAGCUCCAGGGAAGCAAACUGAGCAAGACCCAACACUUCCCUUGAGCAGAAAUGCUCCGGAGAAGGAGCAGCAGGCAAAAGAGGUGACACCAGGAAAGCACCAUCUGCCCUUUUUCCUUGAAACCCUGGUGAGAGAGAGCUUCCCUCCUGCCCUCAGCCACCCACUUCUUUUUGCCCUGCUUGAGUGACUUGCUGUGAUGGCUCAGAGGAUAACAACCUCGAUCAGAUGAUUUUCUGCACCACCUCUUCUAUGCACAUUGUUUCUCCUAAGGAUCCAAUUAACCAGGCUCUCCUCCCAGCCUUGGGCUGCAGUAAAUGCACGCUCUUUCUAUUACUGGAUGUAUUCAAAGAAAAUAAAAAGAAACAGCCUCAAA